CAUCUAUUUUUUUUGUAUAUAUUUAUUUACCUUAACAUUUAUCUUAACCAUAUCAAAAUUCUCGUGUUGUACAUUUUUGUAACAUGAUUCGUUUCCCUACCUUAAAAUAAAUAAAAACACUGUGAAGUAAAACAUACAAGAAAAUUUGCAAUGUGAAUCGAUGAAAGAAAACUUGAAGCUGGCGGAUGCAUGGAAUGUGCGAGCCAGUCUCCAAAAAGGAGUGAAAUUAAAAAAAAUAUUGUGUGUAAAAAUAAAGUGUCAAAUCCCAAUGAAUUGGGGAAAUAAUUUGUACUGAUUUUUCCAAUAAAUUGUAAUGAUAUCAUUGUAUUAUAUAUUUUGAACACGUACUGAUAUUGUAUACACAUACAUAUGAAUUUGAGCUUUAAUUGUCCAUAAUUUUGUAAACUAUCACAAUAAAUAUAGAAAUCCUCAAAACAAUAAUUAUAAUCAAAGGAGAAUUUACUUUAUUCAGUUUUAAAUUGAACUCUGGCUUUUGUUGUAUACUGUUAAUGUUUUUUUUUUUUGAAUAAUUAUAAAGCAUUAACAACGGUAGUGUUGUAAGUGAAUAAAUUAGUUAAACAUAGAAGGUAUGUCGAAUAAUUCAAUCUAGGGAGCAAACAUGCCAAGCAUCGGAAACAUCAAUCAAGGAUCAAUUCAAUACGUUAAUAACCCUUUGCAAAGCCCUCAGUUGCAGUCGACAUCAUUACAAGGUUCACCUGUACAGCAUAGCCCUGUAAGCCAAUCACAAGUUUCUAAUAAAAAUAACCAAAGUGGUGAUCAAGCGUCACAGUUUGACUAGAUGAGGAGGUUGAAGAAGUUUUGCUGGAAUUAGCUGAUGACUUUUUGGAUGUUGCAGUAAAUGCAUCUUGCUGUCUUGCUAAACACAGACUUGCGUCUACUGUGGAGUUAAAGGAUGUUCAACUACAUUUAGAAAGACAAUGG